rnacentral:rRNA from 1 species
GAUGAACGCUGGCGGCGUGCCUAAUACAUGCAAGUCGAGCGAAUGGAUUAAGAGCUUGCUCUUAUGAAGUUAGCGGCGGACGGGUGAGGAACACGUGGGUAACCCGCCCAUAAGACUGGGAUAACGCCGGGAAAACGGGGCUAAUACCGGAUAACAUUUUGAACCGCAUGGUUCGAAAUUGAAAGGCGGCUUCGGCUGUCAUUUAUGGAUGGACCCGGGUCGCAUUAGCUAGUUGGUGAGGUAACGGCUCACAAAGGCAACGAUGCGUAGCCGACCUGAGAGGGUGAUCGGCCACACUGGGACUGAGACACGGCCCAGACUCCUACGGGAGGCAGCAGUAGGGAAUCUUCCGCAAUGGACGAAAGUCUGACGGAGCAACGCCGCGUGAGUGAUGAAGGCUUUCGGGUCGUAAAACUCUGUUGUUAGGGAAGAACAAGUGCUAGUUGAAUAAGCUGGCACCUUGACGGUACCUAACCAGAAAGCCACGGCUAACUACGUGCCAGCCGCCGCGGUAA